rnacentral:lncRNA from 1 species
GGGGGGGAAGAAAUCGUGGGAGCGGGGCGGCUCGGGCGGUUGCGCUGAGUGAAGAGAGUGGGGAGGGAGCGGUUGGAGAGGUGGGGGAUGAAGCUGACGUGCAGGCCCCACACGUUAGAGGGAGAAGGGAGGAAAGGAUGGGGCAGCCGGAUGGGCCUCGGCCCAAGAGGGGAAAGGGGAAGGCGCGGGGUGGGCUAGGCCAGCAGGCCGAGAAGGAGGGGAACUGAGUUUCUUUUCUUAUUUUUUUUGAACC